UACGUAGGAUGCAAGCGUUGUCCGGAUUUACUGGGCGUAAAGCGCGCGCAGGCGGCACUCUAAGUACGCUGUGAAAUAUCCCGGCUCAACCGGGAGGGUGCAGUGUAGACUAGGGAGCUAGAGGUCGGUAGAGGGGGGUGGAAUUGCUGGUGUAGCGGUGAAAUGCGUAGAGAUCAGCAGGAACACCCGUGGCGAAGGCGGCCCCCUGGGCCGUACCUGACGCUGAGGCGCGAAGGGCUAGGGGGAGCGAACGGG
rnacentral:rRNA from 1 species